AGAAUGAACGCUGGCGGCAUGCCUAACACAUGCAAGUCGAACGAAACCUUCGGGUUUAGUGGCGCACGGGUGCGUAACGCGUGGGAAUCUGCCCCUUGGUUCGGAAUAACAGUUGGAAACGACUGCUAAUACCGGAUGACGACGUAAGUCCAAAGAUUUAUCGCCGAGGGAUGAGCCCGCGUAGGAUUAGGUAGUUGGUGUGGUAAAGGCGCACCAAGCCGACGAUCCUUAGCUGGUCUGAGAGGAUGAUCAGCCACACUGGGACUGAGACACGGCCCAGACUCCUACGGGAGGCAGCAGUGGGGAAUAUUGGACAAUGGGCGAAAGCCUGAUCCAGCAAUGCCGCGUGUGUGAAGAAGGCCUUCGGGUUGUAAAGCACUUUUAUCAGGAACGAAAUACUACUGGUUAAUAACCGGUGGGGCUGACGGUACUGAGGAAUAAGCACCGGCUAACUUCGCGCCAGCAGCCGC
rnacentral:rRNA from 1 species